AGACGGUUAGUCUAUUCAAAGACCCCUGAUUUCGGCUCAGACGAACAUGAUUUACCACCAUGACUGUCUU
rnacentral:tRNA from 1 species